rnacentral:lncRNA from 1 species
AUCUUGAACUGAGUGUUGGGUUGGAGUGGCGGCUUGGGGCGCAGCGUCCCUGAACUUCCUAGAGUUUCUCAGAUUGUUAGAUAUUGAAGGUAGUGUUGAAAAAUCAUUGCAGUGAUCCUAGGGAUGGGAAGCUCGAGUCGUUCCACCUGUGUCUUCCGCACCGCAGGAGUUUUGCUGAAUUAAAAGGCACUACUUUAAUUAAAAAGCAGGAUAAACCUGGGUUUGGAGUUCGGAAGGCCUUAGGCUCAAGGGCUCCAGUUGAGGAAGCGUGAACAUUUUGACUGGAGUUGAUCUUAACCCAAUGGACUUUCCCUGUGCUGACCAACCCUUUCAUCACAAGCAAUAUAUUCGGUUGCUGAGCCCUGGAAAUGGCAUCAGAAACGAUGGGGCUGCGUGCUUAACUCCCAUUGUUAUGGCUCCAGCUCAGCACUCCACAGACAGAAAGCCUGUGGUGAGGAGCAGUGGGUAUCUGCAAAGGCUUUCUCUUCUUAGACCGGGUUUCUCUGUGUAGCCCUGGCUGUCCCGGAACUCAAACUUUGUAGACCAGGCUGGCCUCAAACUCAGAAAUCCACCUACCUGUGCCUCCCAUGUGCUGGGAUGAAAGGCAUCUGACGCUGCCAUGUUGCCUGCAUCUACUUCUAAAUGAAUGAAAUUCGAGAGCUAAUGAAAUGAAUGGUUAAUAAAAGAGUGUUGAACCCCUUAAAAGGAAGUUCAUUAUGUCUUUGUUAAUGACGGAAGUGUACAAAAAGACUCAGGCCCUA